GGCUCAAUGGUCUAGUAGUAUGAUUCGCGCUUCGGGAUUUUCUGCCUGCGCGAGGUCCCGGGUUCAAUUCCCGGUUGAGCCC